GUUAAGAAACGGUCAGAAACCUUGAAGAAAAAGAAACUAUUUUAACCCCCUAAAGCUCUCGACGUGGCCCUGCGGCUGCGCGCGCGCUAGAUCCCCUCAGGAGGAGUUGCUAUGGAGACAGCGUCGCGCGCAGGGAAACAGUGACUGAAACGACAGAGAUUGAAAGACUUCACGGCUCAAGAACUUCAACAUUACGCUGAUGAGUCAAGCGGAGGGGCGGAGCUCUGAGGAGGAAGAGGGGUCCAGUGAGAGAGCCACGCCCAUUUCUGCAAUAGCUCCAGAAGCUGAUUCACAUCAUGAACAACCUGCUGUCAUAUCAUCAAACCCAGCUCUGCAGUACCUGGAACAGUUGUUCUCCAUGGGAAAGAUCAGCGGGGAGAAAAUGGCUCGUCUUAGGGCCAGCUACAACCUCUUACAUGAAACUCUAAGAAAUUCUCAGGAAACAGAAAUGCAUCUGCUGCAGGAAGCAAAGGCCUUACGCACCACGCUGGAUCAGAAGAAGCAGGAGCUGGAGAAGGCAGAGCUGUUUCCUGAGGGACCAGACACAGAGGUCAGCAGACUAAAACAAACGCUUCUGCAGUACUACAACCAGCUGAAGGAGGAGGAAGAAAGAGAAUAUCAGAUGCAGUUCCAGUUUGAGUGUCUAAAAGAGGAGAAGCUCUGUCUUGAGAAAGAAUACCAGGAACAACCUAAACCAUCUGAGCUAGAAAAUAGGUACAUUGCCAUGAAGAACAGUUGUGAAGAGGUGGGGAAAGAGGUGGUUCAGCUUAGACAGGAAGUGAAGACUUUAAGUGAGAGCAUGGAGACUCAACACAAACAUAUUAUUAAAGAACAAAAUGAGCUGGAGAAAUUGAAAGAUCUUGUUGGAAGCAGUGAGGCUGAGCUGGCUCAGGUGCUUCUCAUUCCUGUUCAACUGGGAAAGGAGAUCGAUAGGAUUGCCCACAAGAAAUCGGAGCUAGAGAAGCAGGUUGCAGUUACAGGGCAACACCGUAUGGAGCACAGGGAGCAUCAGCAGAGGAUGGAAGCAAAGUGCGAGGAGGUGAAGGAGGCCAAAAGAGAGGUGUUACGAGAACUAGAAGGCCACAAGUCUCAGCUGGUAGUUGCAGAGAACAAACAAGACAGACUCCUCAAAGAACUGCAGAUGACCAAAGAAAAAGAGGCCAUGUUCAUGGAUCAAAGGGGUCUGCUGGAUAUCAACAUGGAGCAGAUUGUUGCUGAGUGCAAGUCUCUGCGUGAUAAACUGGCUCGAGAUACACGGCUGAAAGAUAAGCUUAUGCGAGCCCUAAAGAGGAAUGAAUUGCAGCUGAAACAGACCAGAGACUCUCUUGCUAACACUCAACAGCAGCAUGAGAGGACGCAGGCUCAGAGAGAGACAGUCCCAGAGGGUGACUGCUUGUUGCAGAGAAGAAGAGAUCUGGAAAAGGAAGUGGAAAACUUAAAACGUAGUUGGAUUAGCAAGCAGUCUGGGGCAGAUCUGAAGGUCCAGCUGGUUCAAGAGUAUUUGGAGCAGGAACAGGCUUUGAUUAGAGAGUCCUAUCGCCGUAGAGACGAGCUUCAUCACCUUCAUCAUCUCAUACUUAUCAAAGCAGAUGAAAGAGAGCAGAAGAGCCGUGAGCUGCUCAAAGCACAGCUAAAAUAUAAGCGUGCCAAGCAAGAUCUGCAGGGGAAAGGACUGGUUAUUCAAGAACACUUGAAACAGACUCAAGAGACCCAGUCAAGGCUGGGUGUGUUUGCUAAACUGUAUGAAGUCACCAAGGGCGAGCGGAACAAAUACCUGAGCCUGAUCCACAUCUCAAACCAGAACCUGGCAGAGGUGCAAGAGAAGCUGGCCAAACUGGAAGAAAAUCUCAAGACACUGCAAUUGAUUGCUAUCAACAAAGACAAGUUGCUGCAAAAGUCCCGUCUACAACAUUCUCACAGCUACAAGCUCAGAGACCGUAUGAAGAACGAGCUCUCACGGGUGUUACAAGUUCUGGAAGAAAUGCACCAGAAACGAGAGGAGCAGAAAUUGAACCUCGGCAAGCUCACAGACACAAUCAACAUGAUGGAGCAAAAAAAGUUGUAUAUGUGCAAGAGCUACGAGGCUGCUAUGCAAGAGCGCAACCAGCGGGCCGUGCAGCUUGUAGAAAAAGAGCAGGAACUGUGUAUUUUCUAUGAGAAGCUAAAUGUGCUGGUGAAAAUGAUCGAAGACAGUAACCUGAAGAUACAGAACAUGGAGGAUGAAAUCAGCAACCUGAAAAUUGAACAGAAGGAGCAAGAAAGACAGAAUAACAUUCUCAGGAAACAGUUGUCCAGCAAACGGGCACUGGAGGAAGAAAGCAUCCUAUUACAGAUACAGCUGUCUGAGACGAAAGACAGACUGACUGAGCUAGAAAAGGCUUGUGUGGAUUAUGCCAGAGCUAGAAAACUGAGUGGAGAAGAUCCAUCUACUGAGGAGCUCAUCAAGAAGAUUGAACAGUUAGAGGUGCAUCUGACAGAUAAGGAGGCUCAGCUCUUGGAAAUGGAGCUUGUGUAUGAGCAGGUUACACGCCUUUCCCAGCGCAUCCAAAUCAAAGCUGAGAACGGUAAAGAAGACACACUGCAUCUGGCUAAAAAAGUGAACGAGCUGCAGGCUCAGAUUAGAGAGCGCACUCGUAAAAUGAUGGCAGUGGUAGCAGAGCUGUCCAUGAGACAGGCGGAGUGUAUGACCCUACAGCAGGAGAUGAAAGACAAGGAACUACAGCUGGACUUGUGUCAGAGGCAUGUGGAGCAAGGCCUGCCCCCCUCAGAAAACAUAGAGAACGAGUGGCUGCGUUGCCUUCGAGAUCAGCACAGACGCCAGGCAGAUGCAGAGAAAAAAGCCAGGCUGGCUGAGGAAGACGAGUGGAACCAGCUUCCCAAUGGUGUUUACACCACGGCUGAGCUGCGACCCAAUGCUUACAUCCCCACUGACGAUCCUUUGCCAGUGCCCAAACACUACGGAGCCCUGGCCCCCUUUAAACCCACUGAACCUGGUGCCAACAUUCGCCACAUCCGCAAACCAAAAUAUAAGCCUAUUGAGAUCUAGAGAUUAAUUCUGACAUCUACAAAAGCAGCUCCAAGCUCGAGCAAGAAGUGGGACAGGGGUUGGACCUCAUAAGACACAGAUUUUCAAGAGAAGAGUUAAGUAGGAAACUUACCUCAGGAAGUCUUUUCAGAAUACUGAACUUCAACUGCUCAUUGGCAUCACUGUUAUCUAAAUCUGUCAUGAGAUACAUAGAAAGAGUCAGGAAUACGUUUUUUUGUCUAUUGAAGACCUUAAUUCAGUGACCAAGAAUAUGAUGUAG